CUGUAGCGAUAAAACAGCUUCUAAUGUGCCAGCAGUGUCAGGACCAGAAGACUAUUAUAACAGCUAACUGGAUGAGAUUAAUUUAACCCAGAACACUUGGGUUCACAAGAAGAGUCCUCCACUCCUCUGCUCGCAAUAAAAUACCUUAUGCCACCAGACUCCAAAUUUUGGGCUUAGACAACUUAGAACUACGCCGACUUCAGUCCGACCUAAGCAUAGUACAUAAAAUUAUGUACCACAAUGUCCUCCUGUCAAUGACUACUUCAGCUUCAACCACAACAAUACAAAAGAAAAUAAUAGAUACAAACUCAAGAAUUCUGGAUUGGAUUGCCAUUUCCUUCUCUAUUGAAUUGUAUUUAAUUUCAUACCUUAUCCAUUAGCUGCUUUUCAUGGGUUGGUCUUCUGGAACAGUACGAUCUCGACAUUAAAGUUCACAGCAUAAUAGGAAUGUGCAGUUCUCUUCAUCUCCACAAGAAAGUGUUUUUGAUGGAAGAUAUUCAGUUGGAAAAGGGUAAACCUUCAAGACUAUAUAAAUAUAUAUUAUUCUGAAGAGUGAUAUCAUAAUAAAUUACCCUCAUUAUUUUAUGAGUGGCUCCUUGGCAGAAAAAAGUAAAAUUGCAAAAGGCCUCAAUAGAGGGCAGACCCUCACUGGCCUUGGCUAAACUACAGAGCCAAACAGACUUGGACAUUCACCUUGGGCUAUUUCUGGAAGCCAGCCCACCUGAUUUCUUCCUGGAAACAGCAAAUUGUUAAGCAAGCAGAAGUCCAUCAAUGGUUUUCCCACUAAGUCUCUAAGUUUCAUGGCUUUUGAUAGGAACUCGUUUUUCUCAAACUAAUUGGCUCUUUUGUCAGGAGGAAGUUGUGCUCUUUCUACGUGUGUCUAUGUGUGUAUUUUUAAUAAUUGAAGUGGAGUUAUUUUUUGCUUUGAUUUCAUUUCUAAAAGUAUAAAAGGCAGUGAAUUCACACUGGUCCAUAUUCAUUGCAAGAAUCUAUGAUAGUUCAGUGGUAUGAAUCCAAAUCCACAGAAAGCAAUAUAGUAGAAAAGAAGGAAUCUUGGGAGACACACUUUAGUUUUCUGACAACUCUAUACAAUUGAAGUUUUGGAGAUGGUUCCAUGUAAGAGAAUACCAAACAGUGAAAGUUGCAUUUGUGUUUGAAGUAAAAACUCAGCGGAAUAUAAGAAUUGUGUAGCAAAUUCCAAUAUAGUAUUUUAAUUAAAUAUAGAUGGGAAAGUUUAUAAUUACUUGGUGGUGGGUUGCUACCAGUGUGCACCAGGUCUGGCAAACCAGUAGCGGUGGUGGUGGGAGGCUCUGUCUACCCGCCCAGACACUUCUGUGCAUGCACAGAAGUGAUGCGCACACGCAUAAGCCCACCUGUGUGCAUGAGCGAACCGGUAAUGACAGGACUUGGAACCUGCCCCUGAUGUACCACACAUUUCAAAUAUAUUUUUCAGUAUUCAACUAGGUUGGACAUUUUAUGUUUAAUGUUAAUGAUACAAUAUAUUUGUCAUUUAUUAUUUUUGUACACACAUUUUUAUUACUAUUGUUUGGUUGCUCUGUUUAUAGUUGAUAUUUGU